UGGAACUUUAAACUAAAAGGAAGUUAGCAUAGAGCUGAAAGGAUUGAUUAUGGAGCAUGGCGUACUGGGCAACCUGUACCAGUAUAAUAAAACUUUUACAGAAUAACUGAUCCGUCAAAAUUUUCCCUGUUCAAUAGGUGGCAGCCUCAAGGUAAAUUUUUUCAGAGCUGAGUUUACUGACAGUUUAUCUCUUCAUACAGAGCAUACAUCCUCAAAAGGAAAACUAUAAAAAAAUUCUGUUUCUCCAUGCAGGAUUAAGAGU